rnacentral:rRNA from 1 species
GAUGAACGCUGGCGGCGUGCCUAAUACAUGCAAGUCGAGCGAGCGGACGAGAAGCUUGCUUCUCUGAUGUUAGCGGCGGACGGGUGAGUAACACGUGGAUAACCUACCUAUAAGACUGAGAUAACUUCGGGAAACCGUAGCUAAUACCGGAUAAUAUUUUGAACCGCAUGGUUCAAAAGUGAAAGACGGUCUUGCUGUCACUUAUAGAUGGAUCCGCGCUGCAUUAGCUAGUUGGUAAGGUAACGGCUUACCAAGGCAACGAUGCAUAGCCGACCUGAGAGGGUGAUCGGCCACACUGGAACUGAGACACGGUCCAGACUCCUACGGGAGGCAGCAGUAGGGAAUCUUCCGCAAUGGGCGAAAGCCUGACGGAGCAACGCCGCGUGAGUGAUGAAGGUCUUCGGAUCGUAAAACUCUGUUAUUAGGGAAGAACAUAUGUGUAAGUAACUGUGCACAUCUUGACGGUACCUAAUCAGAAAGCCACGGCUAACUACGUG